rnacentral:lncRNA from 1 species
GACAGGUAAGAUAGUACCAACCCACACCCCACCGCAGUCUAACAGCAAGCAGGACAGUGACACGCUCAGGCCAGGACAGCAGUGACCGCUCCAUCAGGACGACGGGACACAGACAGCCUCGCCAGAAACACACAGUGAUGGGACCAGACCACGGCACAAUCCUGGCCUCACUUCUCUUGACCACUCAGCUGGAAGGAAGAGCUGCCAACGCUCUACAGGACAGUGACCACUCCAUCAGGACGAUGGGACAGGGACAGACAUGCCAGACACACAUGACAAUGAGACCAGAUCAUGGCACACUCCUGGCUGCUCUCCCCUUGAGAACUCAGCUGGAAGGAAGAACUGCCAAUGCUCUACAGGACAGAUAAGACAGCCCCAACCCAUUCCCCACCAUGGUCUCACACCAUACCAGAAGACGACACGGUUGGGUUAUGAUGGCCAUCUCCUGGCCGCCAGGGAGACGUGAGAUGGACGGCCUUGGAGUGAGGCUGGGAGAGCCUUGCUCGGGGAUGCAGGGGCUGCCCCUGGCCAUGGGCUGGGGCUGCUCUUUUUGAUCAUUUUCCUUUCUUACCCCAUCACAAAGCUCAGAGCAGAGCAAGGUCUGCCGCUGUCCUUUCCCUCCUCUGCCCUCUCCCUCUGCGGCCACUGGCCUGAAGGCUGGUGCAGCUUUCUACAACCACAGCCACUGAAGGAGAAGAAAGCACACAAGGACCCCGUCUCUACCCUGCCAUGGUCCUACAAGCACACCAACGGGCCCCGCGCCUUUGGACAUUGAGAGCUCAGCACGCCUCCCCGCCAACUCACCCCACCCCACGUCUCUCUCAAACGUUGCUUAAAUAAAGGUUCUGAUUCACAACCUCA